UGGUGUGUGUUAUACUAGUUACAGCAAUCAAGUUAAGACGGUGGCUAUCCUAAUUGGAGGUGAUGCUUAUGGUGUAAACACUGUAAACUCACAUUCUGGGAAAGGAGAGGCCUUUUGUCCAUAUCGGACGCGUUACUGAUCAUGUUUGCCUUAAGUGCUUUAAUUUACAAGCGUAAAAAGGUUUAAA
rnacentral:sRNA from 1 species